GGCAGUGUACACAUGAUGCAAGAGUACAACCCUACUGACACGUGAUGUGAGCUUUUUCUGCACGCACAAAGGAAAAUCAAGAAGGAGAAGACAUGUGCAGAAAUGUGACCCAUCAUAACUUACUGUUCAGAAAUUACCAAAGAUCUGAGGUAAGAAGCUAGCCUUUAAAACCUCAUAUGAAGGAUAAGAACUUAAGGACAGUUCAAAUGGUCCAUGUGAUCAAGCAUCCUACUUCUCAUUGUCAAAGCCAACAAGCGGGACAGCAAGGCAAUAGCUAUCUCCUGAUUAUAUACUCUCCAGCAACGGGUACUUUUACCCAUUUUACAUUUGAUGAAAUUGUUUUAUAGUAUUUAGAAUCUGUAUGGAUGAUUUUAUCAUUUUAGAGUUUGUUAAAUUGGUUUUAAUCAACCUUAGAGCUUGCGCUUCUAUGUUUUAUUCUGUUUGAUAUGUAAACUACUUCAAUGGCUUUAAGUUAUGAAAAGGUUUGAACGUUUGUUUAUUAUUCUUAUGAUUAUGAAGAAGAUCCUGAAGAAAUAUCCUACCCCCAAUAACAAAAAUAAUUUUUUGAGAAUUCUUAUCAAAUUCUUUUUUUGGCAUCAGGGGAUACAAUUGCAGCUGCAUCCAUUCUUUGAAUCCAAGGGUGAUUUGGAUUUUUCUUUGAAAGAAAACCACAGAUACAAAUAAAAGGAAAAACUUUGGGCCCGUGUGCAUCUCUAGCAUUUACUAUAAUAUGAAAGGGCAAAAGAAAUAAUCAAGGUUUUUUAUUUGCUUCCCAAUCAGUUUUAUACCACUAAUUUUACUAUUUCUUAAUUAUUCUCUUUCCCUACUAUUGGUAAUAUUAUUGCCUUUCUUCAAACAUAUAUACCAACAAGAAAUCAUUUUUUGUAUUUAUGAAUAACUGCCUGCAAGAAAAUGUCUUUGUAUAUAUUCUGCUACAUUCCUGAGCUGCCUUGUGGGACAUCUUUGGGAGAAGAAAAGGUUAAGGAGUAAACCCUACACAAAUCCAGAGUAGAAUCCACAGUGGAUGGUGCCCUUGCACCUCCUUCUGGCAACUCCUGCAGCCAACAUGGUGCCAAAUGUAUUGCUCUGCUUUCCUUUGGAUCACAUCACUGAGGCCGAGAGGGGGUUCUUGCCAUCUGGGCAGCCCAGGACCUCCAAAUACAUUGCCCAGACUUGCGCCCCAGAGAGGACUCUACACAGCUUGACUUCAUCCCCAAAGAUGCACUUCAUUUUCUCUUGAGACAGAUGGAUGCCAACAGCAGCAAUCUGAGCUCAAGUUAUAACCUUAAGCAAAGCAGUGAGAAACUCUUGAGAGGAAAGAAUGAAGAACCCAGUGGAUUAUGUACCUAUCAGACCUUUGUUACAAAUAUACAUUCCCAGGAAAUGAGUUCGCCAUACAGCAGCAUUCAAGCUAUCAAAACAUCAACAGAAGAGAGAGUGAAUGAAAUAUUCAAUGGCUUUCCUCAAUAAGAAAGGUAAUAAAGAAAGCUAUUGCUGGCAGCCACCCAUUUGAAAAGGUAAUAUGGCUGUUUGCAAGCUGAGCAG